rnacentral:rRNA from 1 species
GAUGAACGCUGGCGGCGUGCUUAACACAUGCAAGUCGAACGAAGCACUUUUCGGAAUCCCUUCGGGGAGGAAGAAAAGUGACUUAGUGGCGGACGGGUGAGUAACGCGUGGGUAACCUGCCUUAUACAGGGGGAUAACAGUUGGAAACGACUGCUAAGACCGCAUAAGCGCACAGUGUCGCAUGACACCGUGUGAAAAUAGUUAUAGGUAUAAGAUGGACCCGCGUCUGAUUAGCUAGUUGGUGAGGUAACGGCCCACCAAGGCGACGAUCAGUAGCCGGCUUGAGAGAGUGAACGGCCACAUUGGGACUGAGACACGGCCCAAACUCCUACGGGAGGCAGCAGUGGGGAAUAUUGCACAAUGGGGGAAACCCUGAUGCAGCGACGCCGCGUGAGUGAAGAAGUAUUUCGGUAUGUAAAGCUCUAUCAGCAGGGACGAUAAUGACGGUACCUGACUAAGAAGCCCCGGCUAACUACGUG